rnacentral:rRNA from 1 species
AAUGAACGCUGGCGGCGUGCCUAAUACAUGCAAGUCGAGCGAAUGGAUUAAGAGCUUGCUCUUAUGAAGUUAGCGGCGGACGGGUGAGUAACACGUGGGUAACCUGCCCAUAAGACUGGGAUAACUCCGGGAAACCGGGGCUAAUACCGGAUAACAUUUUGAACCGCAUGGUUCGAAAUUGAAAGGCGGCUUCGGCUGUCACUUAUGGAUGGACCCGCGUCGCAUUAGCUAGUUGGGGAGGUAACGGCUCACCAAGGCAACGAUGCGUAGCCGACCUGGGAGGGUGCUCGGCCACGCUGGGACUGAGACACGGCCCAGACUCCUACGGGAGGCAGCAGUAGGGAAUCUUCCGCAAUGGACGAAAGUCUGACGGAGCAACGCCGCGUGAGUGAUGAAGGCUUUCGGGUCGUAAAACUCUGUUGUUAGGGAAGAACAAGUGCUAGUUGAAUAAGCUGGCACCUUGACGGUACCUAACCAGAAAGCCACGGCUAACUACGUGCCAGCCGCCGCCGUAA